rnacentral:rRNA from 1 species
GCAAGUCGAGCGCUCACUUCGGUGGGAGCGGCAGACGGGUGAGUAACGCGUGGGAAUCUACCUAGCUCUACGGAAUAGCUUCGGGAAACUGGAAUUAAUACCGUAUACGCCCUCCGGGGGAAAGAUUUAUCGGAGUUAGAUGAGCCCGCGUUAGAUUAGCUAGUUGGUGGGGUAAUGGCCUACCAAGGCGACGAUGGGUAGCCGGCCUGAGAGGGUGAAC